GCUUCGGUGGCAUGGUGGUUAGAGUGUCCACCUCAGAUGCGAGUGUCCGUGGGUUCAAUCCACGACCGAGGCA